rnacentral:rRNA from 1 species
AGCGAACGCUGGCGGCAGGCCUAACACAUGCAAGUCGAACGAACCUUUCGGGGUUAGUGGCGGACGGGUGAGUAACACGUGGGAACGUGCCUUUAGGUUCGGAAUAACUCAGGGAAACUUUUGCUAAUACCGAAUGUGCCCUUCGGGGGAAAGAUUUAUCGCCUUUAGAGCGGCCCGCGUCUGAUUAGCUAGUUGGUUGAGGUAAUGUCUCACCAAGGCGACGAUCAGUAGCUGGUCUGAGAGGAUGAUCAGCCACAUUGGGACUGAGACACGGCCCAAACUCCUACGGGAGGCAGCAGUGGGGAAUCUUGAGCAAGGGGCGAAAGCCUGACGCAGCCAUGCCGCGUGAAUGAUGAAGGUCUUAGGAUUGUAAAAUUCUUUCACCGGGGACGAUAAUGACGGUACCCGGAGAAGAAGCCCCGGCUAACUUCGUG